CCUACGGGGAGCAGCAGUGAGGAAUAUUGGUCAAUGGACGAGAGUCUGAACCAGCCAAGUAGCGUGAAGGAUGACUGCCCUAUGGGUUGCAAACUUCUUUUAUAAAGGAAUAAAACGAGGCACGUGUGCCUUUUUGCAUGUACUUUAUGAAUAAGGAUCGGCUAACUCCGUGCCAGCAGCCGCGGUAAUACGGAGGAUCCGAGCGUUAUCCGGAUUUAUUGGGUUUAAAGGGAGCGUAGAUGGGUUGUUAAGUCAGUUGUGAAAGUUUGCGGCUCAACCGUAAAAUUGCAAUUGAUACUGGCAGUCGUGAGUACAGUUGAGGUAGGCGGAAUGAGUGGUGUAGCGGUGAAAUGCUUAGAGAUCACGAAGAACCCCGAUUGCGAAGGCAGCUUACUAAACUGUGACUGACAUUGAUGCUCGAAAGUGUGGGUAUCAAACAGGAUUAGAUGCCCCAGUAGUC
rnacentral:rRNA from 1 species